GACGAAGGUGGCGAGCGUUGUUCGGAAUCACUGGGCAUAAAGCGCACGUAGGCGGCGACGUAAGUUGGGUGUGAAAUCCCUCGGCCCAACCGAGGAACUGCGCCCAGUACUGCGUUGCUUGAGGAUCCAAGGGGUGCAUGGAAUUCCCGGUGGAGCGGUGAAAUGCGUUGAUAUCAGGAGGAACACCGGUGGCGAAGGCGGUGGUCUGGGCCGGUACUGACGCUGAGGAGCGAAAGCGUGGGGAGCGAACAGG
rnacentral:rRNA from 1 species